rnacentral:lncRNA from 1 species
AGAAGGAAAUGGCACUCAUGUUUUCUGAAUUCCAAGAAGCAGGAAUUGAGCACUAUCCUUCAUGCAAGAACUAGCUGCACAAACUCACUUUCAACUGGGAUAGAACUGCCACAGGAAGGGCUGGAAUGGCUUUCUCCAAGUGCAUACAUCCACCCCCAGUGAGAAGAGUCUCUGCUGUGUUUGCAACAGUGAACAAGGAAAGCAUGGAGAUGACCCCGUCUCCUUGCCCUUGACAUUCCUACAUUGAUUGUCAAGGUGUUGAAAUUUCCACCAUGUAGUUUUUUCUCCACACUCACAGAGAGGCUCACGGUAAACCUCCUAAAGCAUCUUAUUAAAAGAGAAACGCUACAGCCAUAGUCACAGAUGAGCUCUGGUGACUAAAAUCCCACCUACCACUACUUGACUGUUGCGGUCCCUGAAGCCUACAAAAUCGCAGAAUGAUUGCUGGUUCUCAAACCUCUAGGUUACUUUAUGAUUGGGAAUUUUACAUAUAUCCAUUGCCUGAAAUGCCCUUAGCAUCUAUUACCCUUUGAGACUUAGCUUCAAUAUCAAGUAAUGAAGCCUUUCUUAAGUACCUAGAGAAAAUCAGUUUUCCGGUCUUUCAUGCUACCUUUGUACACACAGCUUUCUGUUGUUACCUUUUCAAAUCAAUCAUUUCACCAUUAUUUCUCUAUGCAUUCAUUCAUUAUUUCAACAAAUAUUUAUCGGGUGUUUAAUAUGUUUAUAGCCAUGUGCUAAGCACUGAGGUUAUACUUUGUCGUGACUCCAUGGUUAAACUCCACAGGGACAAGAUCCACACAAAUAUUCUGUGUGAAGGACACAUAAAUAGUUUGGGGGUACAUCAUGCCUAUGACUGAUAUGAAGAAGGUGUAAACAAAUGUAUAUUGAAUUAAAGAAUACCUUAAAUAUUUGUUUGUAAGAGAUAUAGUUUUAGGAUUUGUUACAAUAGUUAGAAAAGGGUUUCAUGAAUAUGGAAUGAAAGCUUAGACUGCAACUGUUUUACAAAGCGCUUUUAAAAGUAACUACUAAAAUAAUCUAGUAACACUUUUAGAGUCAUUUAGAAAAGAAUAAAAUAAUCUUAGCCUAGCUAACAGGAUGUUCCAAUAAAACUAUUGUGAAGUGGUAGGACUCUUGAUUAUGGUGAGAAUGGGUCAGAAUGGAUGAAUCAACACAUUUGUGUAAAGAAUAAUAUCUAGAAAUGAUGACAAUGUAUAUUUGAAAGAAAAGAGUAUUAAAAAUGUCUUUAAAUUUUCCAAUUUGUUGUACUCAUAGGAAAAUAGGAGGUGAAAAUGAAAUACUUAGAGAUGGUGUCUUAAUUUAUUUCAAGAAUUUGAGGUAAAAAGGAACUGCUCUGCCCUGUUAAUAUGUGAGAUGAGCAAUUUAGGAGGGAGGUCAGACUGGAAAAGUGAAUUUACUGAACACCAUGAUAGUCAUGUUGUUUAAUGACUUAAGAAUAGACAGUAAAAGAGGUUCUCCUAUCAUAGCCCUACAUCCUCUGGAAAUACAUGCUACAUUAAAAUUUAUAUUUCUAUUUCCAUAUGCUUGGUAUGACUAAUGGCAGAAACUGUGAAGAAUCCUAGGAGAAAAAUGGUCUGCAUUUGCUUCAGACUUAUUGCAAAGUGUAUGUAUGAAGGAAAACAUUACUUCUAAUUCUACCAGACCAUCACCUGCAUGAGUCCCUGUGAUGCUUCCCAAAUCCAUCCAAAUGCUUAACUGAAGCUUGAAUUUAUUAUUUUCAAGUUCGAUGUAAAAGUUCUUCUUUUUAAACUUGACACUGUAUACUGUGGCUUAAAUAUUUAAGCAAGGCUCUUUCGAAGAUUGAGGAAGAAACACUCACACAUCAAAAGUAUCUAAUGUUUAAUUCAGCGAGGUAAGCUUUCUCAAACUCUGAAGCUUAUGUGAAGCUGUUUGGAAUUUUUUCAAAGGUCUUUUAUCUCUAAAUCAAAACAGAAUUUUUUUUAAAAAAAUUAUAAUAAUUCUUCAAAACAGAAAUAACUUCUGUCAGAGUUCUUUGGUUUCUACCUAAAAGAAACAGUUACGUGGCAAUUGUUUAUUUAUUUCUACAUGAACCCAACAUGUUCAAAUUCUAAAAGAUUUAGACAAGCUUGCUUCAGUCAUACAUAAAGAUUUUGAAAACUUAUUAUUCAAGCCAACUAAGAUUCUUGCUAGAAAACUCAAACAAAGAACAAUAAUUGGUUUGAAAACUGCAGAAUAUACUUUGUAGAUUAUGACUCUUCAUUGAUAAACAGAUAAGUAAACACCCACAAAUCAAUAUGUAAACAAUAGAACUGGCUAUUAAGUUUUUGCUAAAAGAUCUUCCUUGAGAGAGUUUAUAGAAUUUGCUAAUUUUUUCUUUUUUGUCUUAUUUAAUGUUAGUUAUCAAAGCCAAGUCUUCCCAGACCCUUACUAAUUAAUCUCAACAAUUUGUUUUUGAAAUUUUGAAAACAUAGAAAUAUUAGGAGAAUCUCCACUGGAGUGAUUCAAGAGAGUUCUAAAACAUGGAGACUGACAAAAACAUUCAGAUAGAAAUCUGCAGUUAAUAGUAAUAAAAUGACGGCAGUCACUGUGAUGAUAUGAUAAUUGUGAUGAUUAGGCUGCUGGUUUGGAAUCCUGGAUAAAUCUCUUAAACUAGCUUUAUGGCUUUUAGCAAGUUAUGUAACCUUUGAAAUAUUCACCUGGUUUUUAAAACCACAUUCUGUGGAUGUAAGAUCUAAAUAAGAUAACCCAUAUAAAUAAUGUAGUAUGUCUCGCACAUACUAAGCGCAUGCUAAGACUUUCCCCAUGCUUUCUUUUUUUUGGCUUCUUUUAUUAUUAUUAUUAUUAUUAUACUUUAAAUUCUAGGGUACACUUGCACAACAUCCAUGUUUUAAGUCUCCACCCACUUGUCCUUGAAAAUUCUAAUCUCUUUUGUUUACCAAGGCCAGUGAUAAUGAAGUCUUAUGAUAAAACCUGUUCCUAUAACAUUCCUUCUAGUCAUUACACAUUUUAAUCUCUCGUUUAUUAAGUUAGGUGCCUGUAAUAAUAACAUUUUCUAGAAUAUUUUUUACUGCUUUUAGCAUGGCUAACUUUUUUCACCUUUCCUUCAGUAAAUGCUGCCUCAUUUUAAGGUUUAUUCUGAACACCCA